CGGAAGAACAGUUUGCUGAGGGGUUUCAGUACAUUCUUUGUUAUGGGAAAGUUAACUGAACUCUCUAUUUUAAAAGGCCAUCAGGGUCCCAUCUGGGCGGUGGCUUGGCAUCCUUCAGGUAAUAUUUUAGCAAGUUGCGGCAGUGAUAAAGAAAUACGUCUUUGGAAAUUAAAUCUUGAAAAGGAGGAAUGGGAUUGUGCUUCAAUCUUAAAAGAAGCACAUACGAAAACCAUAAGAUCUGUUUGUUGGUCACCUUGUGGAAAGUUUCUUGCUUCGU